rnacentral:rRNA from 1 species
UACGGGGGGAGCAAGCGUUGUUCGGAUUUACUGGGCGUAAAGGGCGCGUAGGCGGUCAGCACAAGUCAGUUGUGAAAUCUCCGGGCUUAACCCGGAAAGGUCAACUGAUACUGUGCGACUAGAGUGCGGAAGGGGCAACUGGAAUUCUCGGUGUAGCGGUGAAAUGCGUAGAUAUCGGGAGGAAUACCUAUGGCGAAAGCAAGUUUCUGGGCCAUCACUGACGCUGAGCUGCGAAAGCUAGGGGAGCAAACAGG